GACGUAGGAGGCGAGCGUUGUCCGGAUUCAUUGGGCGUAAAGAGCGCGCAGGCGGCUUGGUAAGUCGGAUGUGAAAUCCCGAGGCUCAACCUCGGGUCUGCAUCCGAUACUGCCCGGCUAGAGGUAGGUAGGGGAGAUCGGAAUUCCUGGUGUAGUGGUGAAAUGCGUAGAUAUCCGGCGGAACACCGGUGGUGAAGGCGAUUCCCUGGACCGAGGCCGACGCUGAGGCGCGAGAGCGUGGGGAGCGAACAGG
rnacentral:rRNA from 1 species